GUAAAGGAAAUUCUGCGGUCCUUUCUACAGAAUUAUUACACAUAGAGGGAAAUUUUAUGAAUUACCCAACUUAUUAAUUCUCAGUCAAAAAGGAUCCGAAAGCCCAGAACUGAAGAAAUAUAGACGUAGCAAUUAUUUUUCCGUUUCCAGCGGCGAAGGUUUCCGGUGGGAAGCCGCAAGUCGGAUUCUUCAGUCUGACCCAGAAGAUUCCACUCUCGAAUCUACAGCUCCUCUACCUUCUAUGAGCGUUCUCUUAUCUCUUGUUCCAAGAAUUUGGUUAAUUGCCUUUUGUUUUGUUUUGUUUUGUUUUGUUUUGUCAUGUGUGAAUGAAAAUAAUUGUUUUGAUGAAGGAUGGUAGAAGCUUAUAGAAGAGGAUGAAGCGAUGUUCAAGAAAGGGCUGGGGGAUUCUGUAGCUCAUAAAACCAAAGUUAUUUAGUAGAUGAACAUCAUCAUCAUCAUCCAGUAUUCAUCUAUAUAUCUGUGGAGAGAGGAAAUAAAAAGAAGAAGAAUAGGAUGGCCAUCUUUUGUUUCCUUGUAGACCAGAGGAAGCAAGUCCGGGGGAGGAAGCCCGCCGCUGGUUUAUGCUCAAGAUGCGGAGGAGGAGCAGUGGUGGCGGACAUGAAAACCUCUACUAGAUUCUGUGGUGUCCCCUUUUACCGCAAAGCUUGGAAGGCCAUCGUCUGUCAUUUCUGUGGCGCCGUGCUCAAAUCUUACCAUUGAAGAUUGAUGAACAAACCAACGUCUUCUCUUCCUCUUGUUUUCUACUUUUUUUUUUUUUUUUAAUUCAAAUUUGUUUAUUGUAACGGAUCAAGCUACUUGCCAUUGUAUGUAGCUUGAUUGCCAAGUACUCUAGAGACCCUUAUUGUCUGUUAUUCAGCUACUAAUAAACUAUAAAAGAAUUGAGAUGGAUGAUAUAUGCAUUCUCCUUUAGCUUGUCCAAAACUGAACCUCUUAAGCAAACGAGUUUGGUAAGAAAAUUUAAUAGAAGGAUAAGAAAGCCACAUGACGUGAAGGAAUGAAGCAAUGAAUGUACCAAAACUUACCACCGUGCACUUGCUUGCUUUACAGCUUUCAGCCAUUGAAUGCUCUCUCUUCAAAUCUCACGUUUGGAAGAGAAUACAUCUGAAGAGGGCCCAGUUAUGUUGGGCCUCUAAUUUACUGACCCAACUCAUCCAUCAUCUUGUUUAAUUGUUUGUAUACAGAAUGAAACUUAUCAAUAAAAGGUCAACGCUUUGUAUUACCUUACCUUUGGAAGGAACGGUGUCGUUUUGAUUGCUUUGUUGAUUUAAAAUAAGUAAGAAAUGACGCCGUUUUUACAUAGAAUCAAACAAGAGCUAAUUUUGUUGCGAUUAAAAGGGAUUUCUGAAAAUCGGAUUCUUGAAAAUUUCUCUUGGUUCUCUUUCAAAAUUUGUAUCUUUUCUUCAUUCAGAUCUUUGAGAAAUCGCCAGAGAGAGAAUCCCUUUUGAUUGAUUGAGAGAGGAGCCGUUCAUUGCGAAUCAAGCAUUCUCUGGACACGACGAAAAGUUGAGUCAGAGCACGACGUCGAGAAAGGCGAUCUCCAUCAAGAAACAUUCUCUGGUCUCUUUCGAAACCAUCAAAUCCUAAUCGAAGAGAUCACUCAUCGAGAGAGAGAGAGAGAGAGAGGAUGGAGUCCAAAAUCGUCUCCAUCUCACGCAAGGCCAACGCUGCCAAACCCUAAUCUAAUCGACGCCAUCGAGACCGAGAAUCGUAGGAACCACUAACGGUGUAAGGGCCAAACUGAGAGAGACGAUGAGCGAGUUUCAUCGUUUGAGGGAGACGAUCUUUGCUGAGUACAGAGAAGAUCUGAUUUUUUUUUUUUGCGACUGAUGAAGAGCCAAGCAACGAGGACAUGGAGAAGAUGAUAUCUGGAGAUGGGUUAGUGAAGAUGAUAUCUUGUAAACAUGCGAUGCGGGAACUAAUAAGAGAUUUGUCUUUAAGUUAUGAGAAUGAGAUGCUCGCUAAAUCUUCUCACACUGACUCAUCUUCACCUGUUGAUCUUUUUGUUAACCAGAUCAAGGAAUGGACUGAGGGGAAUGAGGAUAGUUCCCUACUUGAAGCAAUCUACGAGCCCUUGAUGAGGUUACAAAACUAGCUGAAUGUGACAUAUAUCGUACAAGUUCUGAGCUCAUAAACAGCUCCGACAAAGAGGUGUCCAACAGUCAGUCCAAAAGGUUUCUAUCUAAGAUGAUUGAUGCUCGCCAAGUUAUGCUUUUGUGGAGUUGGUUCUGUUGUCCAAGAUGAGGUACUAGCGCCCUACUUUCUUAUGCCUUUCUAUUUUUACUCAACAAGCUUGUCUUUUUGAUUGUGUGCUUGAGGUGCAGUAGAAAUUGCUUUCACUCUUGAUACUUCAGCAGAACCUUUAUGA